rnacentral:rRNA from 1 species
UGAACGCUGGCGGCGUGCUUAACACAUGCAAGUCGAACGCGAAAGGGACUCGGUCCUGAGUAAAGUGGCGGCACGGGUGAGUAACGCGUGGAUAAUCUGCCCUUAUGAUCGGGAUAACAGUUGGAAACGGCUGCUAAUACCGGAUACGCUCAAAAUGAACUUUUUGAGGAAAGAUGGCCUCUGCUUGCAUGCUAUCACGUAAGGAUGAGUCCGCGUCCCAUUAGCUUGUUGGCGGGGUAACGGCCCACCAAGGCAACGAUGGGUAGCCGAUUUGAGAGGAUGAUCGGCCACACUGGAACUGAAACACGGUCCAGACUCCUACGGGAGGCAGCAGUGGGGAAUAUUGCGCAAUGGGCGAAAGCCUGACGCAGCGACGCCGCGUGAGGGAUUGAAGGUUUUCGGAUCGUAAACCUCUGUCAGAGGGGAAGAAACUACGUUGUGCUAAUCAGCAGCGUACUGACGGUACCUUCAAAGGAAGCACCGGCUAACUCCGUGCCAGCCGCUGC